rnacentral:rRNA from 1 species
UACGUAGGGGGCUAGCGUUGUCCGGAAUCAUUGGGCGUAAAGAGCGUGUAGGCGGCCCGGUAAGUCCGCUGUGAAAGUCGGGGGCUCAACCCUCGAAUGCCGGUGGAUACUGUCGGGCUAGAGUGCGGAAGAGGCGAGUGGAAUUCCUGGUGUAGCGGUGAAAUGCGCAGAGUAUCAGGAGGAACACCGGUGGCGAAGGCGGUCUUCUGGACGGUGACUGACGCUGGAGGCGCGAAAGCGUGGGGAGCAAACGGG